GACAGAGGUGCCGAGCGUUAGGCGGGAUCACUGGGCUUAAAGCGUGUGUAGGCGGAUUCCUAAGUACCUUGUGAAAUCCCACGGCUUAACCGGGGAACUGCUUGGUAUACUGGGUGUCUUGAGCCAACUAGAGGCAGUCGGAACAAACGGUGGAGCGGUGAAAUGCGUAGAUAUCGUUUGGAACGCCAAUGGUGAAAACAGACUGCUGGGGUUGUGCUGACGCUGAGACACGAAAGCCAGGGGAGCGAACGGG
rnacentral:rRNA from 1 species